rnacentral:rRNA from 1 species
GACGAACGCUGGCGGCGUGCCUAAUACAUGCAAGUCGAGCGAGCUUGCCUAGAUGAUUUUAGUGCUUGCACUAAAUGAAACUAGAUACAAGCGAGCGGCGGACGGGUGAGUAACACGUGGGUAACCUGCCCAAGAGACUGGGAUAACACCUGGAAACAGAUGCUAAUACCGGAUAACAACACUAGACGCAUGUCUAGAGUUUGAAAGAUGGUUCUGCUAUCACUCUUGGAUGGACCUGCGGUGCAUUAGCUAGUUGGUAAGGUAACGGCUUACCAAGGCAAUGACGCAUAGCCGACCUGAGAGGGCGAACGGCCGCAUUGGGACUGAGACACGGCCCAA